UGAAGGUAAAAAAAUAAGGGGAAAAAAGUACUAAAGCGCAAUAAACCCAGCCUAUCCAUGGCUUCCUUUCUCCAUCUUCGUUGUCAUUCUUUUUGGAAAAUUAAAAAGAAAUAAUAGAAAGAGAAGCCAUUGAUGACGUUUGUUAAAGCUUCAAGCAGCAAUGGACCGACACCAUAACGAACCCAAUCACGAGGAUGAACCUAACAACUCUAAAUUCACUCGACCUCUAUCUGGAGAUGGAGCUAGCACUGGAAAGAUUUUCAUUGGAGGUUUAGCAAGAGAGAGACUACUACUGGCAGCACAGUUCAUCAAGCAUUUGGUGAAUAUGGUGAAAUUACAGAUUCUGUGAUAAUGAAGGACCGGAAAACAGGGCAGCCUCGUGGAUUUGGCUUUGUGACCUAUUCAGAUCCAUCUGCUGUUGAUCAAGUCAUUCAAGAUACUUAUACUAUCAAUGGAAAACAAGAAGGAUUUUGCUGUUGGAUUUAAAGACCGACAUCAUCCUUUUCUCUUCUUCUCCCCCCCCCCCCCCCCCUCCAAAAAAAAAUCCUUUAAAUUUAACUUGAUAACUUGGUUGGAUUUGUUGAUCUUUGUUGUGGUUUUCGGAUUCUUUAGGUUGAAAUCAAGCGAACAAUACCAAAGGGAGCUGUUGGGUCUAAGGAUUUUAAACCAAGAAGAUAUUUGUAGGUGGAACACCUGCGGUGGUGACUGAAGAUGAUUUCAAGGAAUUCUUUACACAAUCCGGAGAGGUUACAGAACAUCAGAUCAUGCGGGACCACUCCACCAAUCGUUCUCGUGGGUUCGGAUUUAUCACAUUUGAUACGGGACAGGCAUUUGAUGAUCUUUUGGCCAAGGGAUUUAAACUUGAGCUGGCUGGAAUUCAGGUUAGCAGCUGAUACCAGCUGAUAUCAACAUUGAUUUAUCGUUUCCUUUUCAUAGAUUUUUAAACACAAUAUCCAUCUCUACGCAUACUUGAACCCCCCCAUAAUUACUCGAGGACAUGGUAUAGUAAGUAGUUCAUGAUGUGUUAGUGAUGCUCCUAUUCUGUGUAUUUGUCCCAUCAACAUUAACAGCAAACUUUGAAGAAUGUCUAUACAUGAUACAUGAUGGUUAAUCUAAUCAUUACCUGUUAUUUUUCUCAAGAAUCGUAAGUGGUAGUUACAGAGAAUUUUAACCAAAUUUUCUGUUCAACCAAAACAAUAUAAAAGCCCUAUUUGAAGGAAAGAGUCAGUGGAGGUCCUGUACUCGUACAUUGUCAUUUACAAUUGGCCACUCACAUUAAAUUUUAAAUAUAUUUAAGAAAGGGUUGUGCUAGAGAUGUUGGCACUAACAUUUGACCAUUGGCAAAUUUCUAGUCACAUGUCAUUGAU